rnacentral:sRNA from 1 species
UUUUCGUCUGUAGAAAAGAGGAUGAGGACCUUCGAAGGAGGUUUGAGCCGAGCGUAGCGAGACAACGUUGCUUCAGCAACGGCCCGCAGGGCGCUGCUCGCAGAGCAGGGUAAUCCUCUCUCGCCGACCA